rnacentral:rRNA from 1 species
UACAGAGGGUGCGAGCGUUAAUCGGAAUUACUGGGCGUAAAGCGUGCGUAGACGGUCAUGUAAGUCGGAUGUGAAAGCCCCGGGCUCAACCUGGGAAUUGCAUUCGAGACUGCAUGGCUUGGGUGCGGAAGAGGGAAGCGGAAUUUCCGGUGUAGCGGUGAAAUGCGUAGAUAUCGGAAGGAACACCAGUGGCGAAAGCGGCUUCCCUGGUCCGACACCGACGUUCAGGCACGAAAGCGUGGGAGCAACAGG